UUCUUUUUCUAAAAAUCAGUUUUUUUUAAGUGUAGAUGAGUGUAACGAAUAUACAAAAAUGAAUAUUUAUAUAUAUGACUGCAUUUCUUAUAAAAAUAUAUCUUAAUUAAUAUCAUAACGAUACAUUAGAUGUAAAAUCAACGUAAUAUAUAACACCACUAAUAUUUUUUUUUUCACUUUACAAGCUAAGUUUAUCAUGCUGCUACUACUACUAGUGAUAAUUUAUUUUGUAAAAGGUUAUUAGACGACUUGUCAUAGAUAAAGAGAAAGGUAACUUGGUGAAGGUUGACCGAUUUGGUUAUGUGAAGAGGACUAUGCAUGGCACAAAACUGCUAUCCACCCAAGCUGUAAGGUGUGGCCUUUAACCUUAAUAUUAUGAAGAGGACUUGUCGUAGAUAAUUAUUUUUACUUUUUAUGUUUUGAAUCAUUUCGUUGUUAACCGUGUGCUUCUGAAAGUGAGUUGUAUGGGAGGGAACUGGUGGACCUGCGGAAUGAAAGUCUGUGGGAGUUUCUCAUGUGUAGGUAGGUAGUCACUCUAUUUAUUUAUUUAUUUUUUUUUAAUAUAUAAAUUCAUUAUUCCCACCAUCAGAUAUGUGACAUCUUUCCAGUUUUAGAUAAAUAAAACUAAUUUGAUCCAUUAUUGUUGUAUUUCAAAUGGUUGAUAGAUUGGAUGAAGGGAUUAUUUCACCGGAUCUUGGCAUACUUUAUGAAUUUUUUCUAAUAAAAUACUUUAUUUUGUAUGUUGAUUUUCAUCGGUGUAUGAAUUUUUUCGUUUGCUUCAGGCUGUUGGUAAGGCCCUCUUUAGGGCUCAUGUUAAAGGUCAACUAAAGGUAAAUUUAUAAUUAAUUAAGGCCUUGAAUAGUAGUAAUAUUAUAAUUAAUUUUAUGCUACAGAAUGAGAUAAUGUCGAAGCCAGAGCUGUUUGUAGAGCCUGAUCCAGAGCUACCUUUAGCACUUCUUGACCACAGGGGCAUCUCCAACUCCAAGUCGAGCAAACAUGGCUAACAACAUGCAACAAAUGUCAGAACUUACUGGAUCUGCUUUGGAGCAGCUUGCAUUACAAACACUUGCACGAUUCAAUUUCAAGGGCCAUGAUCUUCUUCAAUUUGCAGGAGAUGAUGGAGCCACAAGGAAAGAUGCUGCUCUUUGCUGCUGCAAGAGAUGAUGGAGCCCAGUAGAUCCAAUGGAUCUUCAAGUUCGGAAGUAUGCAGUAUCAGUGGUUGGUAGAUUAUCUGAAAAAACCCUGCAUAUGUUUUUCUAGCACUUCGGCGUCGCCUUAUUCAGUUGUUAACAUAUAUUGCACAAAUGUCACAAGAAUUAUCGGAGAAGGGGUUCAUUAGUCUUAAAGAAUUAUGAAAGGAAAGAUGCAACUCUACUUAGUUGGAAUUUGAUGUUUAUCAUCUUUGUGUAUAUCUUUGUAGUUUGUAUAGCAUUACUUUGCAGAAGGUGUCCCUUGAUACACAAUGUAGUAUUAGGUUAUAUAGUUAGGGAAAACCUCUUAAUAACAAUGUACAAUUAGAUCCCCUUAAUAUCAAUGUAUUACAAUUUUUUGA